UACGGGGGGGGCAAGCGUUGUUCGGAAUUACUGGGCGUAAAGGGCUCGUAGGCGGCCAACUAAGUCGGACGUGAAAUCCCCAGGCUCAACCUGGGAACUGCGUCCGAUACUGGAUGGCUUGAAUUCGGGAGAGGGAUGCAGAAUUCCAGGUGUAACGGUGAAAUGCGUAGAUAUCUGGAGGAAUACCGGUGGCGAAGGCGGCAUCCUGGACCGACAUUGACGCUGAUGAGCGAAAGCCAGGGGAGCAAACGGG
rnacentral:rRNA from 1 species